rnacentral:rRNA from 1 species
AUUGAACGCUGGCGGCAGGCCUAACACAUGCAAGUCGAACGGCAGCACGGUGGUUGCUCCCUGGUGCAGCGGGGGACGGGGGAGUGAUGUCUAUGAACAUGUGUGGUAGCGUGGGAGAACGUCCGGACACAGGCGCACUUACCCCACACGCGCUGAGGGGGUAAGGGGGGGAGCAUCGGACCUCCCGCCCUCACGGGAGCCAAGGUCGGAUUAGCUAGUUGGUGGGGUAAAGGCCUACCAAGGCGACGAUCCGUAGCUGGUCUGAGAGGAUGAGCAGACACACUGGAACUGAGACACGGUCCAGACUCCUACGGGAGGCAGCAGUGGGGAAUAUUGGACAAAGGGCGAAAGCCUGAUCCAGCCAUGCCGCGUGUGUGAAGAAGGCCUUCGGGUUGUAAAGCACUUUUGUUUGGAAAGAAAGGCAGUAAGUUAAUACCUUGCUGUUAUGACGGUACCAAAAGAAUAAGCACCGGCUAACUUCGUG